rnacentral:rRNA from 1 species
UACGUAGGGGGCAAGCGUUAUCCGGAUUUACUGGGUGUAAAGGGAGCGUAGACGGCAGCGCAAGUCUGGAGUGAAAUGCCGGGGCCCAACCCCGGAACUGCUUUGGAAACUGUGCAGCUGGAGUGCGGGAGAGGUAAGCGGAAUUCCUAGUGUAGCGGUGAAAUGCGUAGAUAUUAGGAGGAACACCAGUGGCGAAGGCGGCUUACUGGACCGUAACUGACGUUGAGGCUCGAAAGCGUG